rnacentral:rRNA from 1 species
UACGUAGGGCGCAAGCGUUAUCCGGAAUUAUUGGGCGUAAAGAGCUCGUAGGCGAUUUGUCGCGUCUGCUGUGAAAGACCGGGGCUCAACUCCGGUUCUGCAGUGGGUACGGGCAGACUAGAGUGCAGUAGGGGAGACUGGAAUUCCUGGUGUAGCGGUGAAAUGCGCAGAUAUCAGGAGGAACACCGAUGGCGAAGGCAGGUCGCUGGGACGUUACUGACGCUGAGACGCGAAAGCGUGGGGAGCAAACAGGAUUAGAUACCCCAGUAGU